AUUGAACGCUGGCGGCAUGCCUUACACAUGCAAGUCGAACGGUAACGGGUUAAGCUGACGAGUGGCGAACGGGUGAGUAAUGCAUCGGAACGUGCCCAGUCGUGGGGGAUAACGCAGCGAAAGUUGCGCUAAUACCGCAUACGAUCUAUGGGUGAAAGCGGGGGACCGUAAGGCCUCGCGCGAUUGGAGCGGCCGAUGUCAGAUUAGGUAGUUGGUGGGGUAAAGGCUCACCAAGCCGACGAUCUGUAGCUGGUCUGAGAGGACGACCAGCCACACUGGGACUGAGACACGGCCCAGACUCCUACGGGAGGCAGCAGUGGGGAAUUUUGGACAAUGGGCGCAAGCCUGAUCCAGCAAUGCCGCGUGCAGGAAGAAGGCCUUCGGGUUGUAAACUGCUUUUGUACGGAACGAAACGGUCCUGGUUAAUACCCGGGGCUAAUGACGGUACCGUAAGAAUAAGCACCGGCUAACUACGUGCCAGCCGCCGCAGUAACAC
rnacentral:rRNA from 1 species